rnacentral:rRNA from 1 species
AACGAACGCUGGCGGCAGGCUUAACACAUGCAAGUCGGGCGCCCCGCAAGGGGAGCGGCAGACGGGUGAGUAACGCGUGGGAAUCUACCCAUCUCUACGGAAUAACGCAUGGAAACGUGUGCUAAUACCGUAUACGUCCUUCGGGAGAAAGAUUUAUCGGAGAUGGAUGAGCCCGCGUUGGAUUAGCUAGUUGGUGGGGUAAAGGCCUACCAAGGCGACGAUCCAUAGCUGGUCUGAGAGGAUGAUCAGCCACACUGGGACUGAGACACGGCCCCGACUCCUACGGGAGGCAGCAGUGGGGAAUAUUGGACAAUGGGCGCAAGCCUGAUCCAGCCAUGCCGCGUGAGUGAUGAAGGCCCUAGGGUUGUAAAGCUCUUUCACCGGUGAAGAUAAUGACGGUAACCGGAGAAGAAGCCCCGGCUAACUUCGUGCCAGCAGCCGCCGUAACAC